rnacentral:lncRNA from 1 species
UUGAAUGUAGGGAUGUAGCUCAGUUGAUAAAGUGUUCCCCCAGCAUGCUUGCAUCCUUGGCUCGAUCCUCAGGGCCACAUAAGACUUUGGAAGUCAGAGGCAAGAGGUUAAGGAGCUCAAGGUCAGCCUCAACUCUCAAGGUCAUCUUGGUUGCCCAAGACUUUCCCUCCACUCCCUCCCCCUUAUUUGUUCUUCAACAAGUAAGAACAUUUGCACAUGAGUGUAUAUUCACUUCUGUAGCUGCUAUUGCGGGCAGUAAUCUCUGAAGUCUGGAAACAGAGACAGGGGGCUCCGGAGUUCAUGGCCAGUCAACGUCAGCUGUGCAGCAAGUUUGAGCCAGCCCAUGCCACACCAGGCUCUGUCCUUAAAAGUCAAAACAAAAUGUAGGAAUAAGACUUAAAUUUACUUAGAUUUAUUUUAAUGUGGAUUAUUAUCAUAAAUUGGCAUCUCAUUUUGUAACCUAGCCUCUAAGAUUUUAAUUGUUGUUAUAUUACUGAAAAUAGGAGCAUCGAGGAUAAUAAUGAUCAGCAUGUUUUAGAGCCCCCUGUGUGUUAGCUCAGUCCUUGGGGGUCGUAAUCUCUUGACGUCGAUAUUGUUUUUUUUCCUAUAGCACCAAUGAGGAAAUUAAGGUCACAGAAUGAGUCAGCGGAGGUCUAGGACUCCCACCCAUGUCUGUUUUAGGCUAGAGUCUGUGCUUUUAAUCUCUAGGCCAUAGUGCCUCUAUAAUUGGGAAUUGAAGUCUGGGCCAGGUUAUUAUUUAUUUAUUUAUUUAUUUAUUUAUGAUUUUGCCUUGUUCCAGAAAGCAUUUCAGACAUCUGGUUAAGCAACUUGCCCAAGAUCACCCAGACAGUCAGAGGCAGAGCCAGGAACCUCUCUCACAAACUGUACAGUGAGAUAACUCAGAGGCAGACUCACAUUAUAUAUUUCUUCCCAAACACGAGUAUGGGAAAUGGGCAUUUUCUUUGGCUGCUUUCCUGUUCAUUGUGGUUGGAUAUGUUCUUGGCUUUGUAGUCUGAGAACAGGCUGAAUAGCAGAAGAGGAAUUAAGGAGCAAUGAGACCAGGCCAGCAAGGAUGUAGAGUGCCUGUGGUGGGUUGGAUGAAAGACCCAAGAGCUGUCUAAGAAGUGUGCUCCGGACAUGCGCUGCAUGGCGUUGGCAAACCCAGCAGUUUUCGGUAGUAAAACCUAAGAAAUAGCAGAGAAGAAAACAGUGGGACAGUUCAGGCUCAGAAGCCAUGUGUGGCUGGAAGAAGGAAGGAAAUAGAAGGACAGGUGAGCCUUGCUGUCCAGGGAGGGCAAGAGUGGCCGGCUGUAGCUGAGGUAGUGUUUGGGGCUUACUCUGCCUGAGGGUGCAACACACGUACACACACUAAUGCAAACACUCCCCACACCAUUAUGUGCAUGGACACAAACAAGUAAUAAUUAGGUUUAAGAGCACAAAAACAAGCAAAGCAUGAAAGACAGACACCACCAGACACCCAUUUCUUUAAAAAAUAAAACAAAACAAACUGUGCACACAUCUUCAGUGAUUGAGCCUGCUCAGGCUCUGUCCCCUUCUUGGUUCAGUAACAUCGUUUUCCUUUAUCCUGAGAACGCAUUCCAAACAGAGUUUGUAUAAAGAACUGUCUUUUCUUGGCAAUAACUUGGAAAAUAAACAAAUGAGACAUACAGUUGUGUGGUACUUUUAUUUUUUAAUGGAACAUUAAUUUGCUUUCAGUUUGAAUUAUUAUAAAAACAUUGCAGGACCUUCUCCCCAGACUUUUUUUUAAGGAAUCUGUCUUGAUUUAGCAUCCUUAACCAAACAUGCUUUAGAGGCAGGGCAAGGACUAACUAUAAAGAAAACAACCCUUUGACAACAGCCUUUACCCUGGCAGUCCACCCAAAGCCGCCAAGGCAAGGUGUGUUUGAAGUGCUUCUCCUUGGGAAGUGUGGUGUUUACCUGAAGGUAGCCUGGGCCACUCUGUCUAAGGGAAGCAGAAGGUGAGGGCUGAGGGGCAGGCACAGGAAGAGGAAAUGGUCCCUCUGUGCCUUUAGUUUCCCAAUGGUGCUAGGAGUGUGUACUGCUCACUCACCUUGGACUAUGCAACUCCAGCUGAGGAACACAUGAAUGUCUGGUGCCAGUGGCCCCGUGAGAGUGUCAGAACCGAUUCUGGAGCUGGAAUCACAGGCAACUGUAAGCCAACAUGUGGGUUAUUUUUAUUAUAAAAUUGUUAAAAUCCUACUGUGACUAGAAACCUGGUCUGAAUUAAGUGUAAUCCCUCAUUGGUAACUUGGUUAAACCUAAUUUUCAACAAGAACAAGCUGGCCACUAAUGAAGUAAAGGCUCAAACAGGGACGGAAAUGCCCCUUACAGUGACCGGAGGCAAGUCUGAGCCCUGGUAUUAUUUUUCAGAAUUAUGACUGAUUAGCAGUUCUAAGAAACCGUGAAAGAAAAGUGAGCUGUUCCAUAAAGGCAUUUGCAUGAAGGAAGCGAGCUGGAAUUUAAUGGUGACAGUAAGUUAUUACGAAGCGGCUGAUUCCGUGAAGAGCAAUUUGGUAUUUGUCACGGCCCCGUUGUCAAUUGCAUUAGUAAGGGAUAAGAAUGACUCAAAGGUCUGUGGUGGGCAAGGAAUGGCAGGGCGGAAACUCCAUAAUAAGAGUGUUUAGUGGUGAGGACAGAAGAAGCGCAGAAGAAAAAAUAUAUAAUUGCAUUUGUUUUUAAAUCUCCUUACUGCCAGGCAUGGUGGCUUAUGCCUGUGAUACCAGCCCACUGGGAGACGGAAGCAGGAGGAUUACUGUGAGUUCAAAGCCACCCCGAGCUACAUAGUGAGUUCCAGGUAAGCCAAAGCUACACAGUGAGUUUCAAAACAUUUUUUUAAAUUUUAUUAAAAUUUUUGAUUGGUAACCAUCCUUAAAGGACAUGUGUCUAUGACAUUCUCAGAAGCCGCAAACUAGGUCUGUCUCCAUUAUUCCUUGGCUUCAUAUCCCAGUCUGUCUAAAUUGUAAACCACUGUCUUUCUCUGUAGUUUGCAUUCUAUAACCUAAUCCACUUCAUACUACCUUUGGAGGACAAAGUAGGUUUUGUAAAUGUCAAAAAUGUACGCGAGUAAUCAGACCACACUGGAUGAUAGAUUGUGCCACGAAUAUGCUCUUUUCCCCGACUUCACGCAUGGUGUGUUAGUGAAGAAAUAGAAGCUUAGAAGGCAAGAGCUGUCUGUGAGACUGUUAGUGUAGCAAUGGUGCCUGCCCUGGGGUGAAAAUUAACCCAUGCUUUAGUAUAACCUAUUGCCUUCCAUUGUGCCCAGGCUUAUUACAGAAUGGCUCAUCCAUGAACUCAGUUACGGUGGAGUCUACACGUUUAUGACUGGAACGAGUUGAAUGGUGAAUUAGCCUGUGGAAAAGGUACCUUGCUAGAACAAAAGCUUUGGCUUCACGAUCUGUGCCCUCUCAUUGCCUUACUGCACCCCAAACAAAAGGCAUUGAAAUUUGAAAAGGCAUUGAAAUUUGGCAAUAGCGGAAGGCGUCCACUUUAACUAAAACUGCACAUAUUUAGAAUAAAGUAUGUAUAAUAACCAUUUCCUAAGUGCCCGGCAUAGGGAAAUGUGUUCAUAACAUUGCCAGCACAGUAGACGAUGUCUCACUUUUCAGGACAAGAGAAAUGAUGUAUUAAACACUUAAUUACUAAGGC